rnacentral:rRNA from 1 species
AGGUUAAGUUAAUAAGGGCGCACGGUGGAUGCCUUGGCACUAGAAGCCGAUGANNNNNNNNNNNNNNNNNNNNNNNNNNNNNNNNNNNNNNNNNNNNNNNNNNNNNNNNNNNNNNNNNNNNNNNNNNNNNNNNNNNNNNNNNNNNNNNNNNNNNNNNNNNNNNNNNNNNNNNNNNNNNNNNNNNNUUGGGGAGCUGUAAGUGAGCAAUGAUCCAGAGAUGUCCGAAUGGGGGAACCCGGCAGGUAAUGCCUGUCACUCAUUACUGUUAAGGUAAUGUAGAGGAAGACGCAGUGAACUGAAACAUCUAAGUAGCUGCAGGAAGAGAAAGCAAAAGCGAUUGCCUUAGUAGCGGCGAGCGAAACGGCAAGAGGGCAAACCGAAGAGUUUACUCUUCGGGGUUGUAGGACUGCAACGUGGACUUAAAGAUUAUAGAAGAACUACCUGGGAAGGUAGGCCAAAGAGAGUAAUAGCCUCGUAUUCGAAAUAGUCUUUAUACCUAGCAGUAUCCUGAGUACGGCGAGACACGAGAAAUCUCGUCGGAAUCUGGGAGGACCAUCUCCCAACCCUAAAUACUCUCUAGUGACCGAUAGUGAACCAGUACCGUGAGGGAAAGGUGAAAAGCACCCCGGGAGGGGAGUGAAAUAGAACCUGAAACCGUGUGCCUACAACAAGUUCGAGCCCGUUAAUGGGUGAGAGCGUGCCUUUUGUAGAAUGAACCGGCGAGUUACGAUAUGAUGCGAGGUUAAGUUGAAGAGACGGAGCCAUAGGGAAACCGAGUCUUAAUAGGGCGCAUUAGUAUCAUGUCGUAGACCCGAAACCAUGUGACCUACCCAUGAGCAGGUUGAAGGUGAGGUAAAACUCACUGGAGGACCGAACCAGGGCACGUUGAAAAGUGCUUGGAUGACUUGUGGGUAGCGGAGAAAUUCCAAACGAACUUGGAGAUAGCUGGUUCUCUCCGAAAUAGCUUUAGGGCUAGCGUCGAUGUUAAGUCUCUUGGAGGUAGAGCACUGUUUGGGUGAGGGGUCCAUCCCGGAUUACCAAUCUCAGAUAAACUCCGAAUGCCAACGAGAUAUAAUCGGCAGUCAGACUGCGAGUGCUAAGAUCCGUAGUCGAAAGGGAAACAGCCCAGACCACCAGCUAAGGUCCCAAAAUAUAUGUUAAGUGGAAAAGGAUGUGGGGUUGCACAGACAACUAGGAUGUUAGCUUAGAAGCAGCUAUUCAUUCAAAGAGUGCGUAAUAGCUCACUAGUCGAGUGACCCUGCGCCGAAAAUGUACCGGGGCUAAAACAUAUUACCGAAGCUGUGGAUACCUUUAUAGGUAUGGUAGGAGAGCGUUCUAUGUGCGAAGAAGGUGUACCGUGAGGAGUGCUGGAGCGCAUAGAAGUGAGAAUGCCGGUAUGAGUAGCGAAAGACAGGUGAGAAUCCUGUCCACCGUAAGACUAAGGUUUCCAGGGGAAGGCUCGUCCGCCCUGGGUUAGUCGGGACCUAAGGAGAGACCGAAAGGUGUAUCCGAUGGACAACAGGUUGAUAUUCCUGUACUAGAGUAUAUAGUGAUGGAGGGACGCAGUAGGCUAACUAAACCAGACGAUUGGAAGUGUCUGGCCAAGCAGUGAGGUGUGAUAUGAGUCAAAUGCUUAUAUCUAUAACAUUGAGCUGUGAUGGGGAGCGAAGUUUAGUAGCGAAGUUAGUGAUGUCACACUGCCGAGAAAAGCUUCUAGCGUUAAUUAUACUCUACCCGUACCGCAAACCGACACAGGUAGUCGAGGCGAGUAGCCUCAGGUGAGCGAGAGAACUCUCGUUAAGGAACUCGGCAAAAUGGCCCCGUAACUUCGGGAGAAGGGGCGCUGACUUAUGGUCAGCCGCAGUGAAUAGGCCCAAGCAACUGUUUAUCAAAAACACAGCUCUCUGCUAAAUCGUAAGAUGAUGUAUAGGGGGUGACGCCUGCCCGGUGCUGGAAGGUUAAGAGGAGUGCUUAGCAAUAGCGAAGGUAUGAAUUGAAGCCCCAGUAAACGGCGGCCGUAACUAUAACGGUCCUAAGGUAGCGAAAUUCCUUGUCGGGUAAGUUCCGACCCGCACGAAAGGCGUAAUGAUUUGGGCACUGUCUCAACGAGAGACUCGGUGAAAUUUUAGUACCUGUGAAGAUGCAGGUUACCCGCGACAGGACGGAAAGACCCCAUGGAGCUUUACUGCAGUUUGAUAUUGAGUAUCUGUACCACAUGUACAGGAUAGGUAGGAGCCUAUGACCUCGGGACGCCAGUUUCGAGUGAGGCGUUGUUGGGAUACUACCCUUGUGUUAUGGCUACUCUAACCCAGAUAGGUUAUCCCUAUCGGAGACAGUGUCUGACGGGCAGUUUGACUGGGGCGGUCGCCUCCUAAAAGGUAACGGAGGCGCCCAAAGGUUCCCUCAGAAUGGUUGGAAAUCAUUCGCAGAGUGUAAAGGUAUAAGGGAGCUUGACUGCGAGAGCUACAACUCGAGCAGGGACGAAAGUCGGGCUUAGUGAUCCGGUGGUUCCGCAUGGAAGGGCCAUCGCUCAACGGAUAAAAGCUACCCUGGGGAUAACAGGCUUAUCUCCCCCAAGAGUUCACAUCGACGGGGAGGUUUGGCACCUCGAUGUCGGCUCGUCGCAUCCUGGGGCUGUAGUCGGUCCCAAGGGUUGGGCUGUUCGCCCAUUAAAGCGGCACGCGAGCUGGGUUCAGAACGUCGUGAGACAGUUCGGUCCCUAUCCGUCGCGGGCGUAGGAAAUUUGAGAGGAUCUGCUCCUAGUACGAGAGGACCAGAGUGGACUUACCGCUGGUGUACCAGUUGUUCUGCCAAGAGCAUCGCUGGGUAGCUAUGUAGGGAAGGGAUAAACGCUGAAAGCAUCUAAGUGUGAAGCCCACCUCAAGAUGAGAUUUCCCAUGAUUUUAUAUCAGUAAGAGCCCUGAGAGAUGAUCAGGUUGAUAGGUUAGAAGUGGAAGUGUGGUGACACAUGUAGCGGACUAAUACUAAUAGCUCGAGGACUUAUCCAAA